GGACACCCUGACAGAAGCACCUCUCACAAAGGCUGCACAACCACAGGCAGAAGUGUGGUGUUCUACCUCCCAAACUCCUCCAUCCUCAACCCCUGAGCUUUGAAAGAAGCUAAAGUUAGAAUCAGUCUCCUACUGUAUCCAAAGCUAUCUUGAGAGUGAGAGCUUACCUACUUCUUGGAGGGGUCAGUCCUUGAAGAAGGAACACACUCUCGCAUGGCUGAUUGGACACCACCAACAAGAUGGUUCUGUAGUCUGCUGUGUCUAUUUGGAAUCCUGAAAGUGUGAUUGUAUCCCUGGGGUCAGAACUUGGUCUCAGGAUUGAUGAGGGUCACUUCAUACUUGUGUGUGUGUGUGUGUGUGUGUGUGUGUGUGUGUGUGUGUGUGUGUGUUGGGUGUGAACCCCACAGCCCAUUUGGUAGGUAAGUACUGUCUCACUAAACUAGUUGCUCAGCUGGAGUGUCACCCAUCCCUAGCAGAAUGUAAACCAGCUAGCCAGCAAAGCUUUUGCUUGGUAUCUUUGCGAAGGGAGGCCAUGUGUGUUCAUUAGGCAGUUGACUUUGGGGGACAACGGGAAGCAUCCACCAGAUCAAAGGGAGGUGGGAAGAGGAGACAAAGGUGAGUGUGAAAAUGUCAGAAGCACGGAUCAGCGCCUAGAAGGCACAUGCUGAAACUCCCAGGUUCUUACUAGAUGAAGGACAUGCAUGGAUAGUGGCUGAAAUAGACAGCUUAGUUAUUAAGAAAGGGGAAGGUACUCUCUGGAAUGUAGGCCAGAGCCCAGAGGUUUAGAAGCUCGGGUUCACUAGAGGCUCAACCCUUUAUGGGUCAUUCUUGCUCACUCACAGGUCUCAGGCUUUUCUCCUGCUCUCUCCUUAUGCAUGGCUGUUGUCUGUCCUUUAUCUAUCUACCGCCGCUUUCUCCCACAUGCUAAUCUUCAUACCUUCCUCUUCCUGCCUUAUUCUCCUGCCACCAAACCAGAAGGGCUUGUUGGAUGGGAAAGUAAAAGGGUCACACACAUUAGGUACUGUGAAGAAAAGCGAACCAGCAUAGAGUGCCCUGCUGGAUCCUGGCAGAAGGUGGACCUGAAGGCGAGGUGCUUAUGCAGAAGGGAUGUGUGAAGGAGACUGACAGGAAGUGUGGACAUUGAUCAGAUGCAAGGGGGAGAGGUUGGAAGCUUGUUGCAGAACAGCAAAAGGACCCUUGAGAGGCAGGAAGCCUCUCUCUUCAGAGCUGGAAAGAAUUCUCUCAGCUGCUUCAUGGUACAGUUCUCUGAUGCUCUGCUGGCCCCUACAGGAAUGCAUUAUAAGAAAUAUGAGUGUAGCAGAUAUCCACAGCCAUACUGUGCUUCUGAGUUCCCACAUACCGGCCAAGCUAAACUGCUACCUGCCCCUUCUAUGGUGCUGAAAGAUCCCCAUGUGGGAGAGCCACAGAGUGUGACAGAUGGUAGCCAACUGUUCUGGGCCAUGCUCCCAGGCAAAGUGCUUUGUGCUUUGAAAAAAUCUCUAACUGCAAGUAAGGUUCACCAAACGUUCAAGUGAGAGAGAGAGAGAGAGAGAGAGAGAGAGAGAGAGAGAGAGAGAGAGAGCCAGCAGAGAGGACAGGAGCAAUUAUAACUGCUCAUCUGAGAAGGCUGUUCCUUAAGGGGCACAGAAUCUGCUGUUGCUCUAAAAACAUUAGCCAACAUUUAUGUGUGACAAGUUACCUCUAGCUGGGGUAGCUUUAAGCAUAUUCCAGUUAACUUGCUUCAUGCUCACCCAGACCUCCAAAGUUAGCUUUUUUUUCCAUGUUCCAAAUGAGGAAACUAGGGCAUAAAUUGAUUUAAUGACUUCCUCAAGGUCAUACUGAGAGUAGAUACUUAGUUAUCUGUUAUUGCCAACACGAUUGCUACACAGUUAGCAGCUUAACCAACCCUCUGCCCUUAUCUCCCAGGGUCUGAGAAUCAGAAUCUAAAGAAUCUAGCUUAGGGCCUCUCAGGAGCUGCAGUCCAGUGGUCAGGCAGCACUGAAGUUUCAUCUGGGACACCAGCAGGAAAGGAUCUGUGGCUGUCGGCAGAUGGCUAUUCCUGCAGUCGUGUUAGAGUGACAGCCUCAGGACCCAGUGACUGUUGGCCAGAGGCCUCCUUGGCCUCUUGCUUUUGGGUCUCUAUGUGAUCACUUACAAAUACCACCUGUGUCCUCAGAGCCAGUUAAAGAGGGCACCUGCUCUAAGGAAAGCCAGUCUUGCGCACCGCCAUUGUGCACAUGGCAGCUCAUCAUAGUUGCUGUGUUGAUUUAUAAGAAGCAACAAAGCCCCGUGCAUGCUCGGGAACAGACAGUACUGGGGAGCCACGGUCUCUGUAAAGGCUCCUCUGAAUCUGCCAGAUAAUGGCCUGUAUCCGAACCCAGACAGCUUGGCUUCAAAGCCCUGCAUCACUAAGUUUGCUUUAGCCUUGGCAAACACCCGAUAAUGGUGCCUUACGGGAGAACAGGUUUGUUCUGGUCUGUUAUGUGGAGCGGCUUUCGCCUUCAGUCCGUAGUAGUGCAGUAGGUGUGGUGACAGGAGCUCGAUGCAGCUGCUCACGUUUUGUCCCCAGAGACUAGAAUGAAAAAAGAUGAAUACAGGGGCCAGGCUGCCUUCUCCUCUUUGCAUAGUCCAGGAACCAAGCCUAUGGGACAAUACUGCCUACCUUAGAGUGAGUUUCUUGCUUCAAUUAUUCCAGCUUACAAUCUACCUCACAAGCAUGCCGUUCAUUUGUUCCCAUGGUGAUUCUAGAGCCUGUCAAGCUGGCAAUCAAUAUAAACCAGCACAGCCUCCGGAGCUAACCAUUGUGCUCCCCGGUAGCUCUAGUGUUCCAUUGCUGUGAGAAAUUAGCCAAGGCAAAGGAUUCAUGGAGGGAAGGGUUUGUUCCAGUUUCAGAGGUUUCAGUCCACGGCGACUUGACUGUCAUUGUUUUGCAGCGGUGAAGAGGGAGUUCAUUUUCUGGGGAGCAUGGGAUAGAGAAAACCGCUCAUAUCGUGGUGUCCAGGAAACAAAAGGGCCCCGACACCCCCUUCAAAGGACCUCCAGUGACUAACUCUCUUCCACUGGACUCUACCUCCUGUGCUUAAGGAGAGGCAGAAACAUACUACACAGCGUAUGCUGGUUAGCAUAAUAAUAUAACAUGGCAUUCGGAAGUGAGGGAUGUUGCAUGGUUGUGGUUUAAGUAUGGAGUGCCCACCAGCUCAUGGUACUGCUCUGGAAAGCUGUGGAACCUUCAGGAGGUGGAGUCUCACUGAGACAGUGGGUCAGUGGGGCUGAAGUGGUAUGGUUUUAUAACCGGGUCCUUCUGUCUGUCUUCUGUCCGCUUUCCUGACUGCUGGCACAGUGCGACCAGUCGCCUCAUGCUCCUUCAGGCGCGCCUUCCCUGCCAUAUUAACUG
rnacentral:lncRNA from 1 species